CCUACGGGAGGCAGCAGUGGGGGAUAUUGCACAAUGGGGGGAACCCUGAUGCAGCGACGCCGCGUGAGUGAAGAAGCGCCUCGGCGCGUAAAGCCCUAUCAGCAGGGAAGAAAAUGACGGUACCUGAAGAAGAAGCCCCGGCUAACUACGUGCCAGCAGCCGCGGUAAUACGUAGGGGGCAAGCGUUAUCCGGAUUUACUGGGUGUAAAGGGGGCGCAGACGGCGAAGCAAGUCAGAAGUGAAAGGCCGGGGCCCAACCCCGGGACUGCAGUUGAAACUGCGGGGCUGGAGUGCAGGAGGGGUAGGCGGAAUUCCUGGUGUAGCGGUGAAAUGCGUAGAUAUCAGGAGGAACACCAGUGGCGAAGGCGGCCUGCUGGACUGCAACUGACGUUGAGGCUCGAAAGCGUGGGGAGCAAACAGGAUUAGAUACCCGUGUAGUC
rnacentral:rRNA from 1 species